AGGGAACCUAAGCCAUUCUGUGCUCCUGUGACUGCUUGCCUUGUUUCCAGCUAGCAGAGCAAAGGGCUGUUCUCCAUCCGCUCCCAGGCAGGAUGUGCUGCCUCUGCCCAGCUGUCCUCUGCAGGCACGUGGCACUGCUGGCAGCCUAUAGUCUCCCCAGCACUUGUGGCAUGCACCAAAACCUGACCUCUGCAUGAGUUCCCUUUGCUUGGCUCUGCUCCUGGCCACCUCAGCUCCCGCUCAGACAGGAAGUCUGAAGUCAGAAGGAAAGUCUUCCUCCCUCUUUUUCCCUUUUUUUUUUUCCCCAGGCAAUAGGAGAUGUGGGGACUUUGAGUCUUGUGUUCCUGGAUUCAGCCCUCGGACAGCACUCAUAUUGUUUGUAUGUGUGUGCCUUGAUAGCUUUUAGUGCCUGUUUGCACAUGUUUUUUGGCGGAGCUGAUCCAUGCCUCUCUCCCAUCGCAUCUCUCUGACAGCACUGAUCACUUUUCCAUCUAAGCAGGCACCUCUACAACCCUCAUUCUGCACACAGUUUUCACACCUGCUGUUAAAGGGAAUAUAUUUGAUAGCUGGAGAUCGAGGAACUGAAUUGCAGUAUUUUUGGCCUUACAGUUGUCGCCUGCAUUCCUUCGGUGAUGUCUGUGUUUCCUUUGCAGCAUUACUGAUAGCAUCACGGAAGCAUCAGUGACCUCCUUUACAAAACACUUUCCUUCUUUUAAUUAAGGCAAUGAAUUGCUAAUAUGGCUUCUGCACGUUUACAAUGACAAUAAACAGAAUAGUGGUAAAGAAUAGCGAGGAGGCUGAGUCUGCCAAGAGGAACCAUGGACUUCACAAACAGAAUUGUUGCACUUCCAUCUCUUCAGGCAAAGUCAGCUUGAUCCUGCAGCUGUUUUGAAGGUUUAUGGCGCAGUGCUUUUGUUUUUCAUAUUUUUGGGUUUGUGUAUUUGUAUUUCAGUGUAGCUUUUGGGGGUGGUUUUGUUUCUUACGUCUAUUUGCCUUGAUUCAUUUUCACUGACACCGACACAAAUCUGCUGUCACUCAUGCUAAUGCAGAACUGGGGGUGCAGAGGAAGAUCAGAUUUCCCAAAUUUUGCUGUUAUUUUGAAUGAAUUCGUAUCUCUUUGAAUUAUUCAGCCGGCUCGAAUAGUGUUGGAAAACUUCAGAUGAGACAUCUACAAAUGAAUUAUGAAUAAGAGUUUUGUUUUGCACUGGCUUCCACAAUUUUCCUCAAAUCUCCAUUUCUCAGUUGUCCUUAUGAUCAAGUGUUUCGGAGAAAAAAUGUGCAUGGAUAGGUCUGCUAGGAAAGGUACAUUUCUGCAGUCAGCACAGCUGAUAAAUUCUGCCUUCGCCUGAUUUGUGUCUCCUCAUUCCCAGAGGGCAUCUCUGGACAGCACCCCCACAAAGGGCAUUAGGGUUGGUUGCUGGGAGCCUGUCAUUGCAUUGAAAGUCACAGAGGGUCAAAUGUGACCCGUGCGUUGUGACAGCUGAGGGUAAUUGCUCAGAAAGCAUGUGUUUCCCUAGCUACAAGAAAUGGAGCAAAACAGUCGGCGCUGGCUGUAGACCUGGUGGUUGCCAGACAGUGGGAUUUUCCUCAUAGAAUCUUUGCAGUUGGAAGGAACCCUUAAAGGCCAUCUGGUCCCACUCCCCUGCAACACCCACAGCUCCUUCAGGUGCUCAGAGACCCUUCCGGCCUGGCCUUGAAUGUCUCCAAGGAUGGGGUUCUACACAUCUCUGGGCACCUCUUGCUGAGGAUCUGCUGGCAAUGAGGUGCCUAGCCGUGCAGCAAAGGUUCUUCCAUGUCAAGUCUGCUUGGAAAGACAAAUCCCAGGCUGUGCCCUACAUGGGACACUUGGUGUUUUCUGUAUGGUUCACCUGAAGUGCUCGGUGAGAAUGCCAGCACGUUUCUCUGUAGGUGAAUCGCCAUGGCUCAGCAUCCACCUGCACAUCUCUGCCUUUCCAGGUCUGUCUGAUUCGUUCCUACGGGGUUUCAAGGAGGCAGGGCAACUUGACAGCACCUUCCUCACCAUGCAGGUGGAAGGCUUCCGUCAGAAAGGGACACAUUUGCAUAGAGACAGAGCUAACAAAGGGCUGGGCAGGGUGUGGCCGAGCAGUUCUAUCGCCACCUGUCAUGCAGCUCUGCAGCACGGCGUUGGAUCAGCCUGCAGCCACGGCUCCGUAUGUGAGAAGUUGAGAGAUGAAAAAAAAUGCUGCAGAAGAUGAAAGCAAGAAUGAAUGGAGAGAGAAAGAAGACGGUAUCCAAGCUGUGGCUUGCUGAUUUUUGGAAACGUAAAUCAAUUAAUGUGUCAAUGGAUGUGAAAGUUAAGAAUAAAGUUUACAG
rnacentral:lncRNA from 1 species